AUAAUCUCUAUUGUAUUUUAAAUAUUUUUUUUUUUUUGUAUUUUGCAGAUUUUUAUAUGUUUAAAUUUUACGCAAAUAUGCAUAAAUAUCCGCGGUCUAACGAUAACUAAACAACUACGAUUUAACAACUGUUAAAAUAUCAGAAUAACAAUAGCCGACUAUCGAUGAAAUAAUCUACUAUUGUCGAGGUGAGACUUUUAAUAUCGAUGGGUUGCGGGAACGAGACCUACAGAUCGAAUACAGCUGCUUCGACACACUAAUGCAUUUAAUAAUACGGUGUAAAUAAAUAACCGACUCUAUCAUAGAAAAUUGUGUGCGUUCUUCCCUAUCAUUUUAGUGCAAAGUAAAAUUUCUUACUUAGUCUCGUUCGUUCCUCUAAAGAAGGCUCUCUAAUCGUGGCUUAAGGGGUAUUGCAGCGACAUCUGGGAUCGACUAUGCGAAUAUCCCAUUCGUUCUAACGUAUGUUCGGCGUUCACUGGACGAUUUUUCAAUCAGGUAGCAAAUACGUUUAACUUGUCUUCUGACACUACGAGCUCGGUUCUUCGAUCAAUCAGCAACUGAAAUUACAUCUUAAUCAUCAAUUUUUAAUCAAAUUUU